rnacentral:rRNA from 1 species
AUCUUGCGCAAUGGAGGGAACUCUGACGCAGCGACGCCGCGUGAGUGAUGAAGGUCUUCGGAUCGUAAAGCUCUGCCCUUGGGGAAGAAGAUCGCCUGUUAGGCGAUUUGACGGUACCCAUGAAGGAAGCCGCGGCUAACUCCGUGCCAGCCGCCGCGGUAAUACGUAGGGGGCAAGCGUUGGCCGGAAUUAUUGGGCUUAAAGGGUGCUUAGGGGGCCUUUUAAGUCAGGUGUGAACGCCCACGGCUUAACCGUGGGAUUGCAUUUGAAACUGGAAGGCUUGAGUAUCGGAGAGGGUAGUGGAAUUCCCGGUGUAGCGGUGAAAUGCGUAGAUAUUGGGAGGAACACCAGUGGCGAAGGCGACUACCUGGACGAUAACUGACGCUGAUGCACGAAAGCUAGGGGAGCAAACA